CAUUUCUUGCAGGCUGCAUCCUGUCCUUGCGUGCCAUUUGGUCUGGCACAUGAUGUAGGUGCUCCAAGCGGAUCUGCUGGACACUGACCGGAGACUGGAAGAAGUCUGACACUACUCUACCCAUUCUAGGAGUGUCCAGAGUACUAUGACUGUUCAGUACUUUCUGGUUGGCCUCAGUACAAAGUAGGGGAGUAUGAAGAUGUCUGAAAAUGCACAGGGAAGGAACACAUGACAAUCAGCAGAGCACGCGUGUUGGACAUAUGUUGUACAGAUUUAUCCUCACACCACACUGGCUAUGCAAACAGAGAGAAGGAAAGGAAGAGGGAAUAUCAAAGGAAACGGACUAUGCAAGGCGCCACUUACAGUUCAGGAUCCAGUGUGUCAUUUUUUCUCUUGGAAAAUUGUUCUUUAUUUAUUGUACUAAGGAGAAAAGAGGGACACAAUGAGAAAAAGCAAUAAAAAUGAGCAAUCUGACUACCAUUCUAA